rnacentral:rRNA from 1 species
ACGAACGCUGGCGGCGUGCUUAACACAUGCAAGUCGAACGGAAAGGCCUGCUUUCCCUUGUGGAUUGCGGGUACUCGAGUGGCGAACGGGUGAGUAACACGUGAGUGAUCUGCCCCCAACUUGGGUAUAAGCCUGGGAAACUGGGUCUAAUUCCCGAUAGGACUGCAGGGUGGUGCCUGUGGUGGAAAACGAUUUUCUAGUGGUUGGGGAUGAGCUCGCGGCCUAUCAGCUUGUUGGUGGGGUAAUGGCCUACCAAGGCGGCGACGGGUAGCCGGCCUGAGAGGGUGGACGGCCACAUUGGGACUGAGAUACGGCCCAGACUCCUACGGGAGGCAGCAGUGGGGAAUAUUGCACAAUGGGCGGAAGCCUGAUGCAGCAACGCCGCGUGGGGGAUGACGGCCUUCGGGUUGUAAACUCCUUUCGACCGCGAGGAAGCCACCUGGUUGGAAGGGUGGUGACGGUAGUGGUAGAAGAAGCACCGGCUAACUACGUG